CUCAGCCUCCCCACCCCAGCCCCGCCCCCGGGCCCAGCUCCGACCCCGAUGCGUCCCUGAGGCCUGGGUCCCAGGGGCUCUCCGCGCCCGGUCGCCCCUUCCCGGAGUCGCCACGUCCAGAUCUUGUCACCGGCCCGGGACCACCUCGUGGGCCGGGCGGGGUGAAGUGCCGUUAGGAAGGACGGUCCCAUGGGAUGGGGGGCCGGGGAACAGGAGACGCACGCCAGGUCGGGAGAAGAGGACGGACUGCGCAGAGCAGAGGCCGCAGAGGGUCGGCCCGGGAGCGCGGGGGUCCCUCCACACGCUCCCCGUCCCCGCUUCCCACGCGGCUCCCUUCGGACCCCAGGGCAGGUGGGGACGAAGAGAAAUGCUCAGCUCCUGAGGCAGUGACCCUAGAGGGACAGAGACUGCAUCUGGGAGAAAUGUGGAAGGGUCAGCUGCGUCCAGUGGGCUCCCUGAGACACUGCAACUGCUUUGUCCGGGUCGUGUCUACUAAGUGGAACUCAAGCAAGAGUCUCCGUCUCUGAUGCUGGAGUGGAAUGUCCACGGGGGCAGGUAAUGAAGAAGGGAAAUUCAGGAGCAGCUGCAGCCCCAGC
rnacentral:lncRNA from 1 species